UACGUAGGGGGCAAGCGUUGUCCGGAAUCAUUGGGCGUAAAGCGCGUGUAGGCGGCCAGAUAAGUCCGCUGUGAAAUCUCGAGGCUCAACUUCGAGCUGUCGGUGGAAACUGUCUGGCUAGAGACCGGAAGAGGAGAAUGGAAUUCCUGGUGUAGCGGUGAAAUGCGCAGAUAUCAGGAAGAACACCCGUGGCGAAGGCGGCUCUCUGGGACGGUACUGACGCUGAGACGCGAAAGCGUGGGGAGCGAACAGG
rnacentral:rRNA from 1 species